rnacentral:rRNA from 1 species
UGGGGAAUUUUGGACAAUGGGGCAACCCUGAUCCAGCAAUGCCGCGUGUGUGAAGAAGGCCUUCGGGUUGUAAAGCACUUUUGUCCGGAAAGAAAACGCCGUGGUUAAUACCCGUGGCGGAUGACGGUACCGGAAGAAUAAGCACCGGCUAACUACGUGCCAGCAGCCGCGGUAAUACGUAGGGUGCAAGCGUUAAUCGGAAUUACUGGGCGUAAAGCGUGCGCAGGCGGUCCGCUAAGACAGAUGUGAAAUCCCCGGGCUUAACCUGGGAACUGCAUUUGUGACUGGCGGGCUAGAGUAUGGCAGAGGGGGGUAGAAUUCCACGUGUAGCAGUGAAAUGCGUAGAGAUGUGGAGGAAUACCGAUGGCGAAGGCAGCCCCCUGGGCCAAUACUGACGCUCAUGCACGAAAAGCGUGGGGGAGCAAAACAGGAUUCAGAUACCCUGGUAGUCCACGCCCUAAACGAUGUCAAACUAGUUGUCGGGUCUUCAUUGACUUGGUAACGUAGCUAACGCGUGAAGUUGACCGCCUGGGGAGUACGGUCGCAAGAUUAAAACUU